UUAAGCGACUAAGCGUACACGGUGGAUGCCCUGGCAGUCAGAGGCGAUGAAGGACGUGCUAAUCUGCGAAAAGCGCCGGCGAGGUGAUAUGAACCUUUGACCCGGCGAUGUCCGAAUGGGGAAACCCAGUGCAAUUCGUUGCACUAUCGUUAACUGAAUACAUAGGUUAACGAGGCGAACCGGGGGAACUGAAACAUCUAAGUACCCCGAGGAAAAGAAAUCAACCGAGAUUCCCCCAGUAGCGGCGAGCGAACGGGGAGCAGCCCAGAGUCUGAAUCAGCUUGUGUGUUAGUGGAAGCGUCUGGAAAGUCGCACGGUACAGGGUGACAGUCCCGUACACGAAAGCACACAGGUUGUGAACUCGAAGAGUAGGGCGGGACACGUGGUAUCCUGUCUGAAUAUGGGGGGACCAUCCUCCAAGGCUAAAUACUCCUGACUGACCGAUAGUGAACCAGUACCGUGAGGGAAAGGCGAAAAGAACCCCGGCGAGGGGAGUGAAAAAGAACCUGAAACCGUGUACGUACAAGCAGUGGGAGCACCUUCGUGGUGUGACUGCGUACCUUUUGUAUAAUGGGUCAGCGACUUAUAUUCUGUAGCAAGGUUAACCGUAUAGGGGAGCCGAAGGGAAACCGAGUCUUAACUGGGCGUUAAGUUGCAGGGUAUAGACCCGAAACCCGGUGAUCUAGCCAUGGGCAGGUUGAAGGUUGGGUAACACUAACUGGAGGACCGAACCGACUAAUGUUGAAAAAUUAGCGGAUGACUUGUGGCUGGGGGUGAAAGGCCAAUCAAACCGGGAGAUAGCUGGUUCUCCCCGAAAGCUAUUUAGGUAGCGCCUCGUGAACUCAUCUUCGGGGGUAGAGCACUGUUUCGGCUAGGGGGCCAUCCCGGCUUACCAACCCGAUGCAAACUACGAAUACCGAAGAAUGUUAUCACGGGAGACACACGGCGGGUGCUAACGUCCGUCGUGAAGAGGGAAACAACCCAGACCGCCAGCUAAGGUCCCAAAGUCAUGGUUAAGUGGGAAACGAUGUGGGAAGGCACAGACAGCCAGGAUGUUGGCUUAGAAGCAGCCAUCAUUUAAAGAAAGCGUAAUAGCUCACUGGUCGAGUCGGCCUGCGCGGAAGAUGUAACGGGGCUAAACCAUGCACCGAAGCUGCGGCAGCGACGCUUAUGCGUUGUUGGGUAGGGGAGCGUUCUGUAAGCCGUUGAAGGUGUGCUGUGAGGCAUGCUGGAGGUAUCAGAAGUGCGAAUGCUGACAUAAGUAACGAUAAAGCGGGUGAAAAGCCCGCUCGCCGGAAGACCAAGGGUUCCUGUCCAACGUUAAUCGGGGCAGGGUGAGUCGACCCCUAAGGCGAGGCCGAAAGGCGUAGUCGAUGGGAAACAGGUUAAUAUUCCUGUACUUGGUGUUACUGCGAAGGGGGGACGGAGAAGGCUAUGUUAGCCGGGCGACGGUUGUCCCGGUUUAAGCAUGUAGGCGGAGGUUCCAGGUAAAUCCGGUACCUUUUAACGCUGAGGUGUGAUGACGAGGCACUACGGUGCUGAAGUAACAAAUGCCCUGCUUCCAGGAAAAGCCUCUAAGCAUCAGGUAACAUCAAAUCGUACCCCAAACCGACACAGGUGGUCAGGUAGAGAAUACCAAGGCGCUUGAGAGAACUCGGGUGAAGGAACUAGGCAAAAUGGUGCCGUAACUUCGGGAGAAGGCACGCUGAUAUGUAGGUGAAGCCCCUGCGGGUGGAGCUGAAAUCAGUCGAAGAUACCAGCUGGCUGCAACUGUUUAUUAAAAACACAGCACUGUGCAAACACGAAAGUGGACGUAUACGGUGUGACGCCUGCCCGGUGCCGGAAGGUUAAUUGAUGGGGUUAGCGGUAACGCGAAGCUCUUGAUCGAAGCCCCGGUAAACGGCGGCCGUAACUAUAACGGUCCUAAGGUAGCGAAAUUCCUUGUCGGGUAAGUUCCGACCUGCACGAAUGGCGUAAUGAUGGCCAGGCUGUCUCCACCCGAGACUCAGUGAAAUUGAACUCGCUGUGAAGAUGCAGUGUACCCGCGGCAAGACGGAAAGACCCCGUGAACCUUUACUAUAGCUUGACACUGAACACUGGUCCUUGAUGUGUAGGAUAGGUGGGAGGCUUUGAAGCGUGGACGCCAGUCUGCGUGGAGCCGACCUUGAAAUACCACCCUUUAAUGGCUGGUGUUCUAACGUAGACCCGUAAUCCGGGUUGCGGACAGUGUCUGGUGGGUAGUUUGACUGGGGCGGUCUCCUCCCAAAGAGUAACGGAGGAGCACGAAGGUUAGCUAAUCCUGGUCGGACAUCAGGAGGUUAGUGCAAUGGCAUAAGCUAGCUUGACUGCGAGAGUGACGGCUCGAGCAGGUGCGAAAGCAGGUCAUAGUGAUCCGGUGGUUCUGAAUGGAAGGGCCAUCGCUCAACGGAUAAAAGGUACUCCGGGGAUAACAGGCUGAUACCGCCCAAGAGUUCAUAUCGACGGCGGUGUUUGGCACCUCGAUGUCGGCUCAUCACAUCCUGGGGCUGAAGUAGGUCCCAAGGGUAUGGCUGUUCGCCAUUUAAAGUGGUACGCGAGCUGGGUUUAGAACGUCGUGAGACAGUUCGGUCCCUAUCUGCCGUGGGCGCUGGAGAAUUGAGGGGGGCUGCUCCUAGUACGAGAGGACCGGAGUGGACGCAUCACUGGUGUUCGGGUUGUCAUGCCAAUGGCACUGCCCGGUAGCUAAAUGCGGAAAAGAUAAGUGCUGAAAGCAUCUAAGCACGAAACUUGCCCCGAGAUGAGUUCUCCCUGACCCUUUAAGGGUCCUGAAGGAACGUUGAAGACUACGACGUUGAUAGGUCGGGUGUGUAAGCGCAGCGAUGCGUUGAGCUAACCGAUACUAAUGAACCGUGAGGCUUAACCUU
rnacentral:rRNA from 2 species